AUUGAACGCUGGCGGCAGGCCUAACACAUGCAAGUCGAACGAGCGGCGGACGAGUGAGUAAUGUCUGUGAAACUGCUCGCAGGCGGGGGAUAUCUACUGUAAACGGUAGUUAUUACCCCAUACCAUCGUAUGUAUCCCGAUGGGAUUAGCUAGUAUGUGGGGUAACGGCUCACCUAGGCGACGAUCCCUAGCUGGUCUGAGAGGAUGACCAGCAACACUGGAACUGAGACACGGUCCAGACUCCUACGGGAGGCAGCAGUGGGGAAUAUUGCACAAUGGGCGCAAGCCUGAUGCAGCCAUGCCGCGUGUAUGAAGAAGGCCUUCGGGUUGUAAAGUACUUUCAGCGAGGAGGCGUUACUCGCAGAAGAAGCACCGGCUAACUCCGUGCCAGCAGCCGCGGUAAUUC
rnacentral:rRNA from 1 species